CCGGCCACGGAGUGAGCCCGUCCCAGUGACGCCCCGGGAGGCCGUGCCACCUCGGCCCGGAGCCCGGGCCCUGAAUCGGCCUUGUGUCCGAGCGGCCACCUGACCCCGGGGCCGUGCCACCUCUCCCGGCCUCGGUUUCCCCAGCCACAGGAGGCACAGGGAGGACGGCUCCUACCACUCAGGGCUGCCGGACGACGGAAUGAAAAACGCACACGUAGGGCCGAGCACCGGGCCGGGCAGCCGGCCGCCUUGCCCCAGAGGGGUCGCGAGGCCACCAUGAGGUCGGGUCCAGGCACGUCACCACACCCUCUGAGACCAUCGCAGACCCCUCGGCCCCAUGAAAGCCAAUCCUGGCCACCACACGGGGCAAAGGCGAAGCGUGCCCGUGCUCCAGCCCUCAGACCUGGCCAGCGGGCCUGAGGGUUUUUAACGGGGUGCUCUUAUUCGGAGAUUUAUCAGACUCCGCUGGCCUCCGCCGAAGGCGGCCGGGCCACGUCCACGCGGCCACUCUGUCUGCCCAAGUCUCUCCCUCGGCCCUUUACGUGGCCGGGCACCUGCCGCCCCUGUGCCUGGGGAGCCCCAGGGCUGUCAGGGUGAGAUGGGGGCUCCCCAGGCAGGGGGGGGGUACAGCGUGGACUGACCGUGGCCGGGCCUGCCGCCUCGGCUCAUGGGCGUGUCGGCAGCGCCUGGGAGUAAGGGGCUGUCUGGACACCUGAGCAACCGGGGACGGGAGCUCAAGCUCGGAUCCGGUGGUGCCCAAGAAGGAGGUGGAGGGGCGAGGCGACUGAGCAGGAAGGAAGCAGCCCAGGAGGAGCCCUCUGGUCCUCGGGCUCUGGUCUCACGCACACCGCCACGUGACCAGCUCGACAGCUGAUGCCAGAGACAAAGCAGGUCUACUCAGAGAACCCACCUCUCGGCCACGGACGGGGCAGCAGGCCCGGCCGCGUGUUCCAGGGCCCCACUACGGUGGCCACACGGCUUUCUGACCCAUCCGGAAUCCGAUGCAAACAAGCCUGCCAUCUGGAAUCUCACAGCGAGGACUGUCUCCCAGUCCAGCGUUGACUCCUGAAGCCGCCCCCACCGAGUGAAAGCUUGUAUUGGGAGGGUUUUCUGCCUCAUGCCACGCCAUUCCAGUGUUUCCCACUUAGAUUUUACCAAUCCCACCCACACGGCCUCAGAAGUUGUUUUGGUCACCCCCUCCCCCCCAAAGAGAGAUCUCUUCAGAGCAUUUUGGGGGGGUCAGGGUAAACAGACCACAGCUGAGCGGUCCCAGAAUUUAAAAAAUUAAAAAAAAAAGAAUAAGGGGGAUGUAAAAGCAGUUUUAAAAAACGAAACUUCAUUUUCUGAACGCCAAGCCAAAUAUUAUCAUCUGCCAACAAAGACUCACGGGGGAAGGGGAAGCUUGGCAGGGAGCGGACUCUCAUCCCUCACCCGGACUGGGGCCACUCCCUCCCCUGUCCUCACCCGCUUCGAAGGGGCGUCCAGGCCGAGGACCCCCUCAGCUGGCAGGGAGCCCAGGCCGAUUAUCCCCCGCGGCCUUUCCAACGACCCCCAACGCCAGGAAGACGUUCUCAUUCCCGGCCCCAGGCGGAUCCGUUCCUCCGAGCCCCUAACUCGAGCCUGGGAGCCGGGCCUGGCUUCUCAGGGCGCCUUCCUGGCGAUUUAGCAGGAACGGGGCUGGACCCUACCCACAGAGCAGGAAGAGGGAGAUGGCUACUAGAUAAGCGUCAGAGGGAAGUUCUGUUCAUUUUAGUAAUUCAGAAAACGUCCGUCCAGUGCUGACUCCGGGCCGGUUUGUCAGGAGUGACAAACACACCCUCUCCGGCCAGCGAGGGUGCGUGAGGGUUAGCGUGCGGCUUACCCGUGGCAGGCCGGACUCCCUGACAGCCUGCAGACUCCUCCCGAGUUCAUCGGAGAAUGGAUUCUGGGAGGAGUAAAGGGCCCCAGAAAGUCACAAAUAUUACCCAAAAUCGCCCUCGAUGGCUUCCUCCUCCGGGAACGGACCCUUCCUCGAACAGUCCUGAUUUUCCUCACUUGCCCUGGACUACCCAUCACCUCCAGCAGACAAAGGCCCAACGGGGUCUAGCCCAAGGGAGGGUCCCUCCAGCCCCCACCAUCCAACACCUGGAAACCUGGCCACCUUUCCGGUGCUUGCGAAUGUGCCCUCGCACCCUUGAGAAAGAGAUCACAGAAGGGAAAAAUUAAACUUGAGAAAGUUAGCCUCCGCUCAACAAAGAAAGCCAGACGUUCCCGCUGGAUUUUCCAAGAACCAUGGGUCAGGGGGGCUUUCUCUUUUCCCUUUCUAUAAAUCUCGGUCCCUGACUGGGUUCUGAGGGCCUGUGAUACCCAGAUACUCGAGCUCUGCCGGCCCAAGCCAACGGGACACUGGUCAGCCCUGGAAAUAAGCAUUUCGUAUAAAAGAUCCAUUGUCUCUGCCUGAGAACAGUUAUUGCCUUUUCUCGGUCCUCAGCCACAUAACAUCAGGACGCCCAGGCUCCUUUCUUGUUCGGACAACAUGUUUUCAGCAAGGCCAAUCUCGCUGGGUCUUCCUGAACCAUCAGCGAAGAGACAAGAUUCUCCUCAGCGAAGUGUUCUGGUGAACGUAUGCUCGUAUUCGGCCAAAAAGCAAUUAGCUCAUCAGUGGUGAAACCCUCCCACCAAAUCGCCAGCCGCAUUGCCAGCAAGAUGCUGGCAGCUGCUGUGGCCACUCUGGACCCCCGAGUCGCGACAUCCUGCCUUCAUUCCUCCCCCAGACCCUGAAUAGGUGAGGGGCACACGUCAGAGCCUGGGGUCGGCGCCCAAGCGACCUCCUCAAAUGCCGUUCCCGGGGCGGGGAGGAGGUUCCACGCCUUCCUCUGGGAGCACGUCCCGGGACCUCCAGAGGCCUUGCUCCCCUCUAGUGCCCCCAGUGCAUCCUAGCCAGGUCCCCGUGGGAAGGAAAGCCCUAUUUGCAAGCUCCUCGCGGUCUACCAGAUAGGAAAUAUCAAAGUUCAUUUGCACCACCACCUGCGGGGCGGGGGAGUGAACUUGUAGGUGCCCUUUCUAGAGAAACCAAAACCGGACUCCCCGUUUCUUAGAAACUCAAACAUAUAAUCGUCACUAGCAAUAAAAAUGGCGAUGACCAUUUGUAACAAUAACAAUGACAACAGCAGCAGCCAUGUAUGGCUCCCUGCCACGUGCCAGGAACCGUACUCUGUGGAAUUCACGGUGCCUGGACGCUCCCAACGACCCUCCGAGGUGGGAUUUAUUGCUCUUGCUCUAGGACUUGGGGUACAGGACUCGGGGUACAAGGAUAUGCCCUGUCCCGGGUCACACAGUGAGCCAGGGGCAAGGACGGGACUGGAGCUGCCCGAUGUGAGCCGGGACACCCCCUUUUAACGGGGUGCCUGCAAGAGUAUCCUCCCUUCUCCCCAGAUGUGCAAGCACACCGUGUAAGCCCAACGAAUACCAAGCAUGAUGGUUUUAAGCUGUCUUCCUGGCUGGCCCGCAAGGGCCUCCCUCCCUCCCUCCCCAAACACUGGUUUCCCUGGACAGCAGGGAGUGCUUGUUCAGAGAGAGCGCCCGGCAGGGUAGGCAAAGCCCUCCGGACCCUCUCUCAGCCCCAGGGACUGCCUUCCACUCAGGCCUCAUCCACACCAGGGCAGAACAGGCCCUGGCCCGACACCCUUCUGAGGACGAGAGCAAGCAAGACUGGGUCACAGACGGCCCCAUCAGGUGCAAACCACACAGAGCCCAAAGUCAUCCUGCUGUAAACCUCCCGGCUGUUCCCACUGAGCAAAGCAAACUGCCGUCUGCGCCUGUUCAGGUGGCGCGUGGAACCUGGUCACGGCAGAGACCUCCUCGCCACACACUGCCUGUGCUGAGCAGCUGGCCCCCACCAGCACCCCGGAGACCCAUCGCCCAGGAUCUGGGGCCUCCAGCGGCCAAAGGCUGGGCGUGACACAGCCCCAAGUACAGGCGACAAAACACUACAGGGCUGGCCCCGGCUUAAAACAAAAAUGGAAAUACCAGGGCCAUCCUCCCACUCGCCCACCACAGUCCACGAGUCCCUAUGCCCCUGCUUAGCACAUUCUUCCUAUUAAAUCCAGAAGUGACAAAAACCA